GAGUAUGCAGACAGCUUCCCUCAAUUAUCUGUUCUCCUGGAGGCCACCAUUCACCACUGUAUCUUUGGACAAAGGAUUUGACAACCAUAUUGUUCAGGAGAUAUGGGAACUCUACAGCCAAUAUUCAGCUCAGAAGGAGAGGACAGGUGAUUUUGUAGCAGUAGUCCAAGUAACUUGACACAGAAGGCACAAAGCUGUCUGUUGGUGGCUGCAUACACCUUAGGGUUUAAUGACAGAUACUGAUAUUUUGUGUCAGCAAGAGUUAGAGACUGCAUAGCAGAUGCAGUUACCUUUAAAGAAAAUAUAUAUAUUUAGCUUGUAUUCCUUUUAAUGUGUUGUAACAGGGGCACAGGAAUAGGGAUGGAAUUGUGUUUAUUUUAUUUUACAGGAUAGUAAAUGCAACACAGAUAUUUAUACAUAACACUGUGUCUGCACUGGACACAACUCUUGACGCUCACAUUGCACUACAACAGCUGUAGGUUAUUAUUGCUGUAUCCAAAAAGCACACCUUACAAAUAUUUUGCCCAUGCAGUACACACAUUUGAGAACUUUAGAAAUUAGGGUUACCCUUCAAUGAAUAUAUAUUUUAAAAAAAUAUAUUACAUGCUAUAUCAAAAUUAUAUUGCAAGAUGAUAGAUCUUUCAUGAUAGGAGGUCCAGUGCUAUGGACAGUGUACCAAAGCAAACAGGAGAGGUGAAGGUGGCAAGGUGAGUUGUUGGUUGGCAUGGGAUGCUAACUCAGUGAGGCUCACCAAGCUAUGUUACCUAAUAUUCUCACACAUACAGAUAAGUAAACUGAAAAGCGUCCGCUUGCCUUAAAUUAGUAGCAAUAGCCUCUGUUGGCAUAGUGAUUGAGACACUUUACAGGCGUGGUGUGGACAAGAAUGUGGUACAACUUCAGACUCCUGCAUCAGCUCCUGCUGUUGGACAUGGGAGGACAUGUGAUAUGACUGAUGCUGAUGAGAUGGCUGGAUGUGUGGCUGGUGCUGAUGUGACUGGUGCAGGACUUCAGCCAUGUCUGGGAAAUGCAACAUCAACAGCCGACACUGCACAUCCUAAGGUAACUGUUGAAGUCUGAGUACUCCUGUGGUUGUUAGAUAAGAAAACUGUUUAGGUCUAAGUACUCAGUGGUUGUUACAUAAGGUUUUGUCAUUGUAUUCUACCAGGUGACAUUUGAGAGUUGGCACAAAACAUUAAGAGUCUGGUCCUAAUGGGCUCCCAAAGCAGACAUCAUAUGGCUAAAGGAGGAUGAAUAAAGGGGACUCUUUCAGAGGGCAAUGUCUUAUCGAGACAAACAUGGCAACACAAGGUGGAGGAAAGACUUGAAGGAUGAUAGGAUGUGGUUCCAACCUCUUGAAUUUCCAGGAGUGGUGAAAGGGAAAGUCGCCUCCGUAGACUUUUUUUUUUUUCAAUAGCUCUGUUUUUUUUUCUGGAGACCAGUUGGAGUGUGGUGUUACAGCCUUCACUGUCCAAUGUCUGACUGGCCAGCACGUAUCAGUCAGAAUGCUUUUCUGUACCAUUGUGGAUAUUCCAAAAUGGUGAGACAGAUCUGCCACAUGUCUAGCAGGUACUCCAUGCUGACUGAGGUCCUGCCAUCCCCAACGCUGCUGAGGAAAGCCUUUCUUAUUGCUAAAGCUGAAAACAUUGAGGACUACCAAACAUAGAUCAUGUCCACUUUUAGCAAAGUCUUAAAGUACAACUCCAAGAUGAUCUGUAGGAAACUUCCUGGAGAUGGAAAAAGCACUGCAGAAUGGAGCACCAAUGUGGCCAACGAGCUGGGUCAGAUCCUCAUAACGGCCCUGACCUGUGAGGAAUCACAGGGCAAAAUGUGGCUGAUGACUGAAUGCCUCAUUGAGAGGUAAAGAAAAUCUGGUGAGGCGAACUCAUGUAUUUGGACCAUGUCUUUGGACCAUGUCUACUGUCAUGUCCAUGGGGUGUCUUCAGCCGGACGGCUCUUCAGUGAGUGGACAGUCUGUAUAUGUUGGUACAGCUCAAUGUCUUCGACUGAAUUGAAUCCAUUGAUUUGAUAAGGCCCAAAGGGCACCCUACUCUACCCUCUCGGUCUUUGCCUACAACAAGGACAACAUGGCAUUCCUGGUACAGCCUGAAUGGUGAAAGCACACGGAUGACUUUUCUCUAUGGCCUCGUACUUGUGUGGAAGAAGUGGAGUGGUGUCUGUCCUGAGAGAGGGUAGGGAUGCCCCCACAGCUUGCCUUUCAUCAAACAGGUG